rnacentral:rRNA from 1 species
UACGUAGGGGGCUAGCGUUGUCCGGAAUCAUUGGGCGUAAAGAGCGCGUAGGCGGCCAGAUAAGUCCGGUGUGAAAGUCAAAGGCUCAACCUUUGAAUGCCGCUGGAAACUGUCUGGCUAGAGUCCGGGAGGGGCGAGUGGAAUUCCUGGUGUAGCGGUGAAAUGCGCAGAUAUCAGGAGGAACACCGAUGGCGAAGGCAGGUCUCUGGGCUGACACUGACGCUGAGGCGCGAAAGCUAGGGGAGCGAACGGG